rnacentral:pre_miRNA from 1 species
AAAGUACCCCCUCCGUCCCAAAAUUCUUGUCUUAGAUUUGUCUAGAUAUGGAUGUAUCAAGUCACAUUUUAGUAUUAGAUACAUCUGUAUCUAGACAAAUGUAAGACAAGAAAUUUGGGACAGAGGGAGUAGUUG